GAUGAACGCUGGCGGCGUGCCUAAUACAUGCAAGUCGAGCGAACAGAUGAGGAGCUUGCUCCUCUGACGUUAGCGGCGGACGGGUGAGUAACACGUGGAUAACCUACCUAUAAGACUGGGAUAACUUCGGGAAACCGGAGCUAAUACCGGAUAAUAUAUUGAACCGCAUGAUUCAAUAGUGAAAGACGGUUUUGCUGUCACUUAUAGAUGGAUCCGCGCCGCAUUAGCUAGUUGGUAAGGUAACGGCUUACCAAGGCAACGAUGCGUAGCCGACCUGAGAGGGUGAUCGGCCACACUGGAACUGAGACACGGUCCAGACUCCUACGGGAGGCAGCAGUAGGGAAUCUUCCGCAAAGGGCGAAAGCCUGACGGAGCAACGCCGCGUGAGUGAUGAAGGUCUUCGGAUCGUAAAACUCUGUUAUUAGGGAAGAACAAAUGUGUAAGUAACUAUGCACGUCUUGACGGUACCUAAUCAGAAAGCCACGGCUAACUACGUG
rnacentral:rRNA from 1 species